rnacentral:rRNA from 1 species
GAUGAACGCUGGCGGCGUGCCUAAUACAUGCAAGUCGAGCGAACAGACGAGGAGCUUGCUCCUCUGACGUUAGCGGCGGACGGGUGAGUAACACGUGGAUAACCUACCUAUAAGACUGGGAUAACUUCGGGAAACCGGAGCUAAUACCGGAUAAUAUAUUGAACCGCAUGGUUCAAUAGUGAAAGACGGUUUUGCUGUCACUUAUAGAUGGAUCCGCGCCGCAUUAGCUAGUUGGUAAGGUAACGGCUUACCAAGGCAACGAUGCGUAGCCGACCUGAGAGGGUGAUCGGCCACACUGGAACUGAGACCCGGUCCCGACUCCUACGGGAGGCAGCAGUAGGGAAUCUUCCGCAAUGGGCGAAAGCCUGACGGAGCAACGCCGCGUGAGUGAUGAAGGUCUUCGGAUCGUAAAACUCUGUUAUUAGGGAAGAACAAAUGUGUAAGUAACUAUGCACGUCUUGACGGUACCUAAUCAGAAAGCCACGGCUAACUACGUG